rnacentral:rRNA from 1 species
AUUGAACGCUGGCGGCAUGCUUUACACAUGCAAGUCGAACGGUAACAGGCCGCAAGGUGCUGACGAGUGGCGAACGGGUGAGUAAUGCAUCGGAACGUGCCCAGUCGUGGGGGAUAACGCAGCGAAAGCUGCGCUAAUACCGCAUACGAUCUAUGGAUGAAAGCGGGGGACCGUAAGGCCUCGCGCGAUUGGAGCGGCCGAUGUCAGAUUAGGUAGUUGGUGGGGUAAAGGCUCACCAAGCCAACGAUCUGUAGCUGGUCUGAGAGGACGACCAGUCACACUGGGACUGAGACACGGCCCAGACUCCUACAGGAGUAAGCAGUGGGGAAUUUUGGACAAUGGGCGCAAGCCUGAUCCAGCAAUGCCGCGUGCAGGAAGAAGGCCUUCGGGUUGUAAACUGCUUUUGUACGGAACGAAACGGCUCUGGUUAAUACCUGGGGCUAAUGACGGUACCGUAAGAAUAAGCACCGGCUAACUACGUGCCAGCAGCCGCCGUAAAAC